AUAUCAGUCAUGCAUAGCAUAUCAAUAAGCGGAGGAAAAGAAACUAACAAGGAUUCCCUUAGUAACGGCGAGUGAAGCGGGAAGAGCUCAAAUUUGAAAUCUUCAAGGUUUUACCUUGACGAAUUGUAGUUUAAAGAAGUGUUUUCUGUUGAAGUUUUGGUAAAAGUUCUUUGGAAUAGGACAUCAUAGAGGGUGAGAAUCCCGUAUUUGACCAUUACUUUCAGCUUUGUGAUACACUUUCAAAGAGUCGGAUUGUUUGGGAAUGCAGUCCAAAAUGGGUGGUAAAUUUCAUCUAAAGCUAAAUAUUGGCGAGAGACCGAUAGCGAACAAGUACCGUGAGGGAAAGAUGAAAAGAACUUUGAAAAGAGAGUUAAACAGUACGUGAAAUUGUCAAAAGGGAAGCGCUUUGACACCAGUGUUGUUUUCUCGAAAAUCAAUUAAAAAGAGUUGGAUUUUGUGUUGUAUUGACUUUAUCAGCUUUCUUCACUCUUUUCCAGCUUUUUUUAAUGCACUUUUCGUUUAACAAGUCAACAUCAGUUUCUUUUGUUGUAAAAAGGUCCAUUGGAAGGUGGCUUUCUCUUCGGAGAAAGUGUUUAUAGCCUUUGACUCAUGCAAUCGGAGAGACUGAGGUCUGCAGCGUAGAUCCUUCGGGGUUAGAUACAUUUGUGCUAAGUUAUAGCUUUUCAUAGACAACUUGUUGACUAUGUUUAGUCUUGUAGCUUACUCGCUUAUGCUAUUUUACCUACGCUUAGGAUGUUGAACUCUAUCACACACAG
rnacentral:rRNA from 1 species